rnacentral:rRNA from 1 species
AAAUUGAAGAGUUUGAUCAUGGCUCAGAUUGAACGCUGGCGGCAGGCCUAACACAUGCAAGUCGAACGGUAACAGGAAGCAGCUUGCUGCUUUGCUGACGAGUGGCGGACGGGUGAGUAAUGUCUGGGAAACUGCCUGAUGGAGGGGGAUAACUACUGGAAACGGUGGCUAAUACCGCAUAACGUCGCAAGACCAAAGAGGGGGACCUUCGGGCCUCUUGCCAUCAGAUGUGCCCAGAUGGGAUUAGCUAGUUGGUGAGGUAACGGCUCACCAAGGCGACGAUCCCUAGCUGGUCUGAGAGGAUGACCAGCCACACUGGAACUGAGACACGGUCCAGACUCCUACGGGAGGCAGCAGUGGGGAAUAUUGCACAAUGGGCGCAAGCCUGAUGCAGCCAUGCCGCGUGUAUGAAGAAGGCCUUAGGGUUGUAAAGUACUUU